rnacentral:rRNA from 1 species
GAUAAGUGCGUGGCGGUGGCGACGGUAAUACGUAGGGGGCAAGGGUGGUACGGAUUUAAUGGGCGGAAAGCGCGAGCAGGCGGUUCCUUAAGUCUGAUGUGAAAGCCCACGGCUCAACCGUGGAAGGUCAUUGGAAACUGGGGAACUUGAGUGCAGAAGAGGAGAGUGGAAUUCCAUGUGUAGCGGUGAAAUGCGUAGAUAUAUGGAGGAACACCAGUGGCGAAGGCGACUCUCUGGUCUGUAACUGACGCUGAGGCUCGAAAGCGUGGGGAGCAAACAGGAUUAGAUACCCGAGUAGUC